UACGUAGGGGGCAAGCGUUGUCCGGAUUUACUGGGCGUAAAGAGCGCGCAGGCGGUCUGAUAAGUCGGAUGUGAAAGCCCCCGGCUUAACUGGGGAGGGUCAUUCGAUACUGUUCGACUGGAAGGCAGGAGAGGGAAGCGGAAUUCCCGGUGUAGUGGUGAAAUGCGUAGAUAUCGGGAGGAACACCAGUGGCGAAGGCGGCUUCCUGGCCUGUUCUUGACGCUGAGGCGCGAAAGCUAGGGGAGCAAACGGG
rnacentral:rRNA from 1 species